rnacentral:rRNA from 1 species
GAUGAACGCUGGCGGCGUGCCUAAUACAUGCAAGUCGAGCGAACAGACGAGGAGCUUGCUCCUCUGACGUUAGCGGCGGACGGGUGAGUAACACGUGGAUAACCUACCUAUAAGACUGGGAUAACUUCGGGAAACCGGAGCUAAUACCGGAUAAUAUAUUGAACCGCAUGGUUCAAUAGUGAAAGACGGUUUUGCUGUCACUUAUAGAUGGAUCCGCGCCGCAUUAGCUAGUUGGUAAGGUAACGGCUUACCAAGGCGACGAUGCGUAGCCGACCUGAGAGGGUGAUCGGCCACACUGGAACUGAGACACGGUCCAGACUCCUACGGGAGGCAGCAGUAGGGAAUCUUCCGCAAUGGGCGAAAGCAUGACGGAGCAACGCAGCGUGAGUGAUGAAGGUCUUCGGAUCGUAAAACUCUGUUAUUAGGGAAGAACAAAUGUGUAAGUAACUAUGCACGUCUUGACGGUACCUAAUCAGAAAGCCACGGCUAACUACGUG